ensembl:lncRNA
GGACAAGCAACAGAGUCUUGCAGGGAAGCCUGGAACUCUCAGCGAUGCUGCUCAGCUAAACACUUCUCUCAUCCUUACCAAGGACCUGACUCUUCCUCUCGAUUAUCCUACUCAGAACUGCAAUGCAAGGCAUAUAACCCAGCUGCGGCCAUACAGAAGCUGUGCCAUGUCACUUGGCACAGCUCCUGUGACCAUCAGUGUCACAGGAGGUGUUCCAGUGAAAAACAGCUCAUCUCCAUCACAAAAGGCCACUUUAAUUGCCAGUGCUGACUGUGGCCAAGGAAGGAAUGGAGAUUCCAUGAGAGAAGGGUUUUCCCUACGGUAAAUACUGUCCCCUUGCUAGGUAGCUGAUUAAAAUAGGAGAAUAAGCCAGAAACCCCGCAGUCUGCUGUGUAUCAUCAGAGGAAAAGGCAAGAACAUGGCAGACGGCUGCAAAAGUGUUUUCUCCCUGGAAAACAGUCACUGCUUCUCCUGCAGUAUGCUUAGCCAGCAGCGGCCAAGAGCCAGAGCUGCCUGCUGCCCAUUCCUUCCCCUGAGCAACCUUUUUGGCUCUCAGAAAUGAAAAAAGCAAAGUAAAACCAACUGAACCCCUUGGCUGUCUUGGAAAUUGAAAUGAUGAGUUCCUCUCUGUGACAUGCUUGUUCCAAGCUGCAGAUUGUGCACGUGUGAUUGGUGGUAUCAUCAUUCUCAGCUUAAAGACUGCACACAUUUUACAGCAGGUGAGCAUCUGUGUCUCUUACAGCCCAUGUUAAAUAUGUAGAUACACUGCUAAAUACCUCCAGUAUGCCGAAAUACGUACAGUGCUCUGCCCAGAAAACUUUCCCUCA